GGUUCCGGGUUCAGUCCCACUGCGUGACACCUUGGAAAGCACAGAACUGGGAGAAAAGCAAAAUGAACUGAGGUGGAUGUCAACAGAGAAAAUAUUGACUUCCAUAAAGUGGAAAAAAUAUAUGGAAGGAAAAACGUUGGUAAAUAUGUCGGUGUGAACGCCAAUAGCUGUUACGUGGUAGCAGGGCAUGCUAGAAAUAACGGCCAAAUCUUUCCUUUUCUGGAAAAAAGAACCGUUUACGCGUGAUUUCGAUGUCACAUUCGUUGAAAGCAUUCAAAAUAUCCUGGAAAAAAAAAUAAAACCGCGAAACAAAACUCCCUUAAUGGGAAAUUUCGAGGUCCCCACCACCCCUCCCACCUUUCUUUUCCGGAAAAAAGGUGACUUGCGGCGGGUUUGGCGGUCAGAUACGUUGAAUGCACUU